UACAUUUGAACGAAUUUGCAUUUUACUCUUUUAGGCCUUGGGGACACGUGUGGCGAUAACGCGGACUGUUCCGGUGUUAGUAACUCUGAAUGUAGUACAAAUUGUGUGUGCAGCUCAGGUUAUACACAGAGCGGUUCAAUUUGUAGCACUGGAAGUCGUGGUAUGUCAAAUUUGCCAUUAUCAAUAUCAUUAUUUGUAAGUGUGUUGGCUGUUAUUAUGAAAAUGUGUUAGAUACGGGAUGACAAUUCGCCGAGACAUAUAAUUGGACGAGAACAAGACAAGUAGUGUAGGACUGAUUAUCAAUGAUAACUUCACAGUUAAAGAUAAAACACAUCUUGCACGGGAAACAGAUGAUGGCCACUAUCUGGAACGUAUAGGAUUGAUUAUUAAUGAUAACUUUACAGUUGUAGUCUUACAUUUGAAACUAGUGAUCGCGACUAUCUGUCGUGUAGGAUUAAUUAUCAAUGAUAACUUUAAAGUUUAAGAUAAAACACAUCUUACACGGGGAACAGAUGAUGGCGUUUGUCUGUAACUUGUAGGAUUGAUUAUCAAUGAUAACUUUAAAGUCUAAGAUAAAACACAUCUUGCACGUGAAACAGAUGAUGGCGUUUGUCUGUAACUUGUAGGAUUGAUUAUCAAUGAUAACUUUAAAGUUUAAGAUAAAACACAUUUUGCACGUGAAACAGAUGAAAGCGUCUGUCUGGAACAUGUAGGACUGAUUAUCAAUGAUAACUUUAAAGUUUAAGAUAAAACACAUCUUGCACGGGGAACAGAUGAUGGCGUUUGUCUGUAACUUGUAGGAUUGAUUAUCAAUGAUAGCUUUAAAGUCUAAGAUAAAACACAUCUUGCACGAUAAUUGAACACACUAUGACUGGAAUAAGUAUUAGAUUAUAUUAUGUAGCAGUAAUCUACGAACAACUGGUUAUACACAGUGCUUGCUUGUUGACAGCAAUUGUCACUUUGACUUGGGGUUUAAAAUAUCAUCUCCUUUUUUGGAAUGAUGGCUGACUAUCUGUCUUUUUUUUAUAUGUCUAUGACGCGAGAAUUGUUAUUAUUCAUAUAAAUUUCAUUUUUGUGUUCUUUCUUUUUAUUAUAACUUUCAUUUAAACAUUUUUUUUGUGUUGUGUCUGGUUUAUAACUUUCAUUUAAAUUUUAUUUUGCGUUAUAUCUUUGUUAUAACAGGUUAACUAUUCCAUUUUGAUGUGUUGUUUUUGUUAACGUGUUUAUUGUGUUCUUUAAUGUAUUAUUUAUUGUUAUUAUUCCAUUGAACUUAUUCUAAUACGUCAUUUAACUUCAUCAUUUUUACAUAACAUUAUACUAAGUCUUGAUACAUUAAAAAAGGAUACAAAUGCAGGUUGAAAUAAAGAUUCACAAUUAUUCUUGAGCUUCUGUAACUUACUACAUACUAUCAUGACAUAAU